rnacentral:rRNA from 1 species
GAUGAACGCUGGCGGCGUGCCUAAUACAUGCAAGUCGAGCGAACAGACGAGGCGCUUGCUCCUCUCACGUUAGCGGCGGACGGGUGAGUAACACGAGGAUAACCUCCCUAUAAGACUGGGAUAACUUCGGGAAACCGGAGCUAAUCCCGGAUAAUAUAUUGAACCGCAUGGUUCAAUGGUGAGAGACGGUUUUGCGGUCACUUAUAGAUGGAUCCGCGCCGCAUUAGCUGGUUGGUAAGGUACCGGGUUACCAAGGCAACUAUGCGUAGCCGACCUGAGGGGGGGAUCGGCGACACGAGAAGUGAGACACGGACCAGACUCCUACGAGAGGCAGCAGUAGGGAAUCGUACGCAGUGGGCGAGAGUAUGACGGAACGACGGGGAGUGAGUGAUGAAGGUCUUGGGAGCGGAAAACUCUGUUAUGAGGGAAGAACAGAUGUCUAAGUAACUAUGCACGGCUUGACGGUAACUAAUCAGAAAGCCACGGCUAACUACGUG